CAUCUCAUGAUCAUCAGCAUGUAUGGUGUUGUUAUCUGCAUAGAGGUACUUGAGUUUUGAAAGGUUGAACAAGGGUCUUAAUGAGCUUAGGAUGUGAAAUUUAUUGUUUGAAAUAUCCAACAAUUGGAGGGAUGUUAGAUUUUCAAGGGCAGAUAUAUUUCCAUAGAAUUGAUUAGAAGAGAGGUCUAAAGAUUCAAGCAAUGUUAAGCUCUUAAGUGCAGAUAUAUAUCCAGAGAACUGAUUAGUAGAGAGGUCCAAAGAUUCAAGCAAUUUUAAGCUCUGAAGGGCAGAUAUAUUUUCGGAAAACUGAUUGUAAGAGAGAGAUAACAUUUUAAGGGAGGUGAGGUUGGAGAAAAACACGGGUAAGCUACCUUUUAGAUUACAGCCAUUGAUAUCCAACUCUUGGAGAUUUGUGAAUUCACUGACAUCUGCAAAAGUAGUAGUAUAUAUGUAUAUAUUUAAGGAGUUUACAAAUAGGUACAAAUCUAAGUAAUAAAUAAAAUAUGUUGAAUUAAUUAGAAUAAUAAUCAAUUGAAUAUAUUCAAGAGUGAAAAUUAGAAUAUAUUCAAAUUUAAAUCAAAAUAAAUUUAGAUAAAACUCAUACAUAAUGGGCUUUAAACUUACAAUUAUUUGGGAGAGGAUCUACACGUGAUGGGAUUCGAAUCUAGGCAUUCAAGAUGCUAAGCCCUAAUUUUUUGCCUUUAGUGUGUUUAACUUUUUUUCUCUGGUCCAUAUGGUUUGUGGAAUUUAAAAUUUUAGCCUUUCUAGUUGUGAAAUUUGAAAUUUAAAGACUAUUUGGUGUAUUUUUAAUAAAUUUCUAUUAAAUUUGAAUAUAUGCAUUUUAAUAUUCAAAGGUUUGAUUCAAAAAAAUAGAAGUAGUUAAUUAAUUAAUUUAUUUAUAUAUAAAAUCAAAAUUAUAAAGUGAAUUUGAAUAUCCUUCCUUUAUGGCUUUAUGUGAAUAAGCAAAGCAAAUUCACAUGUAUCUACCUAUAUCCAUUUUGAAUCCAAAUAUUAUUUGAAUUUAUAGCAUUCGAAUAUAAAAGAAGCAUAUCAAAUUUAUAGAUAUAUGAAUCUAUAAUCCGAAUUACCACAUUUAAGAGAAAUUAUAUUUCAAAAUUCAAAAAGCAGCACAUUUAUAUAUAUUAAAUCUAGAGAUAUAUAAAACUAAAAUGAUGAGUAACUGAAAAUAGAAUAUUUACCAUGCAUAGGUGGACUGUUGUUACCAUUGAUACCAUAGGCGAUCAAUUUUUUAAGAGAACUGAGUGGUUGAAUAAAGUUUGAAGGUAAAGAUGAAUCAAAUAACUCCAACUCUUCCAAACUUCUCAAAUUUAGACCUUCUGUUCAAUAACAUUAAUUGCAAGUUAUAUUUUGAAAAAAACUAUGGGAAACAAAGUAUAUUUAUAAAACUAUGAAGAAAAUAAGGAUCAAAUCCUAGCAAAUUAAAAUAGAGGGAUUAACUUCUCAAUAAUUUUCAUAGAAAUUUAUAAUUAAAUUUUUUUGAGUUUUCUUAUAUGUUAUUAAAAAAGUUGAAUAAUUUAUUGCAUUCUCAUCUUUACAUCCUUUCAUAAAUUAAAACUACUAAAUUAAUUAAUCAAGAUUUAUUUAUAUUUUUUUAAAUCUGGAAAAUGGAUUUAAAACAAAAAUUUGACCUUACAAGUAUACAUUGUCAAGUGUAUAUUGUUAAAGACACUUUUAAAUAAAAAAAUGACUUAAAAUCAAAUACAUAUGAUCAUAAGAGAAAAUUUGAAAUGAUGAAAUUACCUUGUUGAGCGAGGUUUUUGUUAACCUUACAAUACAACAACACUAAACGCUUCAAUGAAGUAAAUUCUGCAGUAACAGAGGCUUUCAAUAUCAAAUAUUUGUGUGAGAGAUGAAAGGCGAAAUAUCCCAACAAAAUAUAUACCAUCAAAUCAUGUCUUAUACUCUUCUUAAUCUCAGAAAUUUAACCUCUUCACUCAUUUGAUUUAAUAAUUGAAAUCUAACUGAUAACAUCAUAAAAGGAUUUUCGUUAAAUUGGAUUACAUGACUUUUUAAAGAUGAAAUAUUUACUCACAUGGCUAAUUGCAUUUUACAGAUUAUAACAUUAUUUUGCAAAUGCUUAAAAUAUGUAAUAAUUUGAUCAAGCAAAAAAAAAAAAAUUACAUGAGUGGAAAGCCAAAUAAGCAAAUAAAAAUAUUGAAUCUAGUGAAUGCGAUGUUUUUAUUUUUCUAGCAUAAUGCUUUAAAAGUAUCACACAAUCCAAAUUAAUAGAAUUAAAAAUAGAGUAAUUAAAUUUAAAAAAAUGCGUUGAGUAUGAGGACUGUAUGCAUAAUUAGACCUACAUGUAUAAAUUAAAUUUGUAAGAAAACAUCAAAACUUACUAUUGUGAGAAUGAGAAGCCAUUGUGGUUUCAUUAAUAUUAAAUCCUCCUAAACAAAGAGUGUUCAAAGUGGGGAGUAAGCCCAAUGAUUGUAAUGAAAGGCUACAACCUGCGUGUAAAAGAAUGCUUUAUUUCUUUAGAAUAUGAGUAAUUAACAAGUCAGGGCAAAUAAUUAAACAUUUGCUUCAAUGCUAAAUUACUAUCAAAUCAUGAAUAUUAAUUUAUAAAUCCAAUUUUAUUUUACUUGAAUAGUAAAAUGACUUCCCCUUCUUCUUAUCUAUAAAUUUUAUAGUUUACCCGCAAAGUAUAAUUUAAAUGCGAACAUUACUUGUGUUGCAGAUCAUAGUCAGCUCCUCUAAAUUGCUGAAACCAUAUAAAUCUGAGGAGAAUCAGAAAUUGAAAACUAGUUUAGAUCAUUUUACUCAUUCAAUAAUUCAAUAAUGCAUUUUUACUGGAAGCGUGGCAAAAUUAAUUUCCUAUUCUCAGCAUGAGUUAAUGAUUUAUAAAGCUAAGCCCAAAAUUGUCUGAAAUCAUCAAAAAUGUUAGAGCCUUAAAGGCUGCAAGUGCCAUCAGAGGUCUUAUCUGCAACACUAGCAAAGAAACAAAUUGCCACUAUUCUUUAGCCUGUCAUUCAUUUCCAUCCCCCUUUUUAGCUUGCAACUAUUAUCCAUUAUUUUUACUGGAUCUUACCUUAUGUUGUCAUCUGUUACAGAUUCAAGGGUUACAUGCCUGCGAGAUAUCAUUCUUUGUAUGAGCAGUACCUCGAAACAAGUAAAAGAAAUGCCUGAAAAUCAGAGGAACUAAACUUAUCUGGUCAAAACAGUAAUUAUACGCUGCCGCUUGCCAAUGUGAUCGGUUAGAAGUGAAAGACUGAGACUUUGGCAGCAUUGGACUUUCUAAUUCUAGAUCAACAAUCUUUGAAGAAAUAUUAUACAAACAUUAUGGAAGGUUUGUAUGUAGUAUACUGCAACUUGGCACAGCGUUUGGAAGCUUUUGGAUGUGUAAUCAAGCAGCCAAGUUGCUCAUUUGUGUGGAGGAAAGAAACUUAUUCAACAUGAAGGUGGUGUUACACAUAGCAAACAAUAUUUCCAUAAUUAUUUGUUGCUACUACUGAGAUUAUGAAGGACUAGACCUAGUGACAGCUAACAUUUUGUACAAAUUGAAAUCAAACCAACUAAAAUAGCAGUGAAACUAAGAAUAUGGCUUGUGGGAGUUUUUAUUCAGUUCCAAAAGAGCACUUUAAAGCCUCGUCUUAACACAGUUGCUACAUAUAAACAUGGCAUUGCAAUCGACAAAUUUCACAACAAAAUUUUCUACAUGUUUCCACUACAAAAAUUUAUGGGGAAAUUAUCUACCACAAAAUAGUAGCAAGAAUCAACGGCCAUUUGUAUGUAGUAAAACCAUGCUUGCCUCCAAUAAGGAUUUAUGUACAACACAGCUGCGAUACACAAUAGCACCAUCACGUAACAUGCAAAGAAGCUUGCAUAGAAGGCAUCCAUAUCAAUGAAACCAUGGUCUUCUUUGAUGCCAGAUGAAGCCUUCGGUGUCAGUGGUGUUGUGACCGGUGAACAAUUUUUUCCCACCAAUGAGCCACAAAGGAAAGGAUUCCCGAUAUAGCUGCUUUCAUCAAAUGCUCCCAACUGUCCAAUCCUUUCAGGUGUCUUUCCAGAUAAAUUGUUGUAUGACACAUUGAAGUAUUCCAGGAAAUGUAACACCGCAAAUUCGGCAGGGAUAUUCCCUGUCAAAUUGUUGUAGGAAAGAUCUAGACUUUCCAUGUCCAUGAGGUUAGAAAAUGCAUGUGGCACUGGUCCGGUCAAGCUAUUGUGAGAAAGGUUCAAUGUGAAGAGUUUCAUAAUGUUUUUUGUUUCAAAACUAAUUUCACCGGUAAGCUUGUUGCAGGAGAGAUCAAUUCCAGACAUGUAUUGAAGCAUUCUUCUCUUGUAAUUGUAGGAUCUGCUCUUUACUGUGUAUUCUAUUGAAACUUCAUUGGCCAUCGAGUUAUUUAUGCUGUAAUAAAUACUUCGAUGCCUAAUAUAUUGCUCAGUUACAUAGUUCAGCGCAGCAACUCAUAAACAAGAAGGAAUACCACCAGAGAGAUUAUUUUGAGAAAGAUCAAUCAAGCUUAAACGAUCCAACUUGCAUAAUUGAAUUGGAAUUGCACCCUCAAAGUGGUUUCUCCUUAAGAGAAGAUAACUUAAUUCAUAAAGAUUGCUAACCCAAUUUGGAAUGUUACCCUUCAAGUGGUUGUAGCUGAGAUCCAAUGUCACCAACGAAGAGCUAUCAUGAAAAGCAUUUGGUAACGCUCCUUGUAGCUUAUUUUUAAAUAAAUGAACUUCCUUCACCGAUACCGGCUUGAAGCAAGAUGGUAGAGUCCCAGAUAAACUGUUCAUGGAAAGGUCCAAAAAUUGGAGUUUGAGAUUGAGACUACAAAUUGCCCUUGGUAUUGAACCUUCAAGUUGAUUAUCUGCCAUGGAAACUAGUGCCAAAUUCGAAGCAUUUCCCCUCCAUUGUGGCAACCUACCAAAGAGUUGGUUCCUGCUCACAUCCAAUGAUGCCAGCUCUGACAUAUUCCAAAUCCAACUUGGGACUUCACCAUAGAUAUAGUUGUUGCUAAGAUCUAGUAUAUUCAAGCCAGAGUAAGCUAAGACAUUUGGGAUCAUCCCAGUGAAGUUAUUUCCAUUUAAUUGGAGCUCCAACAAGCUCUUUAGAUUAAAAUUUCCUGAGAAAAUUGAUCCUUGUAAUUUGUUAUUUGAUAAUACAAGUACCUGUAAUGAAGAGCAGCCUAUAGCCAUGUGCUGAGGUAUCUCUCCAGAUAAUUGGUUGUUUGAUAAGUCCAAAACUUGUAGGGAACUCGUAUCACCAAAAGAAGAGGGAAUGCUGCCAUUGAAAUAAUUCCUUGACAUGUUCAAAUAACGCAAAAAUGGUAGGUGUGCGCCCAUUCUUACUGGGAUGUUGCCACCGAAGGCAUUGUUGGAGAUAUCCAAACGUGAUAAAGCAGAAUGCACACGCGAUGGCACUUGAAAAGGCCCUGAUAGAGAGCAAUUCACGAGAUUCAGGGUCAUUAGCAUCGUGUUGUUUUCCAACAACCAAACCGGAAAUCGAUCCACCUUGAAAUAUAUGUCUGAGAGAGAAACCUCCUGCAAUUCACUUUGAUGGUACAAGAAUUUUGGAAAUGGCCCACCACUUCCACAACAAGUUAAGCUGAUGGAACUCAAUUGGAACCUUGGAGCCGAAGAAUGCGACAUCUCAUGAUCAUCAGCAUGUAUGGUGUUGUUAUCUGCAUAGAGGUACUUGAGUUUUGAAAGGUUGAACAAGGGUCUUAAUGAGCUUGGGAUGUGAAAUUUAUUGUUUGAAACAUCCAACGAUUGGAGGGAUGUUAGACUUUCAAGGGCAGAUAUAUUUCCAGAGAAUUGAUUAGAAGAGAGGCCCAAAGAUUCAGAGAAUUGAUUAGAAGAGAGGCCCAAAGAUUCAAGCAAUGUUAGGCUCUGAAGGGCAGAUAUAUUUCCAAAAAACUGAUUAGAAGAGAGGUCCAAAGAUGCAAGCAAUGUUAGGCUCUGAAUGGCAGAUAUAUUUCCAGAGAACUGAUUAGAAGAGAGGUCCAAAGAUUCAAGCAAUGUUAGGCUCUGAAGGGCAGAUAUAUUUCCAGAUAACUGAUUAGAAGAGAGGUUCAAAGAUUCAAGCAAUUUUAGGCUCUUAAGGAUAGAUAUAUUUUCGGAAAACUGAUUGGAAGAGAGAGAUAACAUUUUAAGGGAGGUGAGGUUGGAGAAACACAUGGGUAAGCUACCCUUUAGAUUACAGUCUUGCAUGUUCAACUCUUGGAGAUUUGUCAAUUCACAGACAUCUGCAAAAGUAGUAGUAUAUAUGUAUAUAUUUAAGGAGUUUACAAAUAGGUACAAAUCUAAAUAAUAAAUAAAAUAUGUUGAAUUAAUUAGAAUAAUAAUCAAUUCAAUAUAAAAUAUUCAAGAGUGAAAAUUAGAAUAUAUUAUUUGGGAGAGAAUCUACACGUGAUGGGAUUCGAAUCUAGGCAUUCAAGAUGCUAAGCCUUAAUUCUUUGCCUUUAGUGUGUUUAACCAUUUUUCUUUGGUCCAUAAGGUUUGUAGAAUUUAAAGUUUUAGCCUUUCUAGUUGUGAAAUUAUAAAUUUAAAGACUAAUUGGUGUAUUGUUAAUAAAUUUCUAUUAAAUUAGAAUAUAUGCAUUUUAAUAUUCAAAAAAAUAGAAGUAGUUAAUUUUUUUUAUUUAUAUAUAAAAUCAAAAUUAUAAAGUAGAUUUGAAUAUCCUUCCUUUAUGGCUUUAUGUGAAUAAGUAAAGCAAAUUCACAUGUAUCUAUCCAUAUCCAUUUUGAAUCUGAAUAUUAUCUGAAUUUAUAGCAUUCGAAUAUAAAAGAAGCAUGUCAAAUUUAUAGAUAUAUGAAUCUAUAAUCCGAAUUACCACAUCUAAGAGAAAUUAUAUUUCAAAAUUCAAAAAGCAGCACAUUUAUAUAUAUUAAAUCUAGAAAUAUAUAAAAACUAAAAUGAUGAGUAACUGAAAAUAGAAUAUUUACCAUGCAUAGGUGGACUGUUGUUACCAUCAAUACCAAAGGCGGUCAAUUUUUUAAGAGAAAUGAGUGGUCCAAAAACUUGAAUAAAGUUUGAAGGUAAAGAUGAAUGAGACAACUCCAACUCUUCCAAACUUCUUAAAUUUAGGCCUUCUGUUCAAUAACAUUAACUGCAAGUUAUAUUUUGAAAAAAAUUAUGAGAAACAAUGUAUAUUUAUAAAACUACGAAGAAAAUAAGGAUUUGAAAUUAUGAGUUUCAUCCUGUUCUUUUAUUUUACAUAAAUUGAGAUGUUAGCUUUUUCUAUUUUAAUUUGUCAAAAUUUGGUUAAUGUAGUUUGUGUAAAUUAAGAAGCUAGUCUAGUUAUUGGUAAUAAUAUAUAUUCUCAUCUUUACAUCCUUUUAUAAUUGUUUUUUGAAAAGAGAUCCUGCAGAAUGCAUUAGUUUGACGGAAAAUUACAACGUUAAAAAACAAUUUCCUAAAAAGCCUUAAACGGCACCUUAGCAUCCUUUCAUAAAUUAAAACUACUAAAUUAAUUAAUCAAAUUUUAUUCUUAAAUCUAGAAAAUGGAUUUAAAACAAAAAUUUGACAUUGAAAGUGUAUAUUAUCAAGUAUAUAUAGUUAAGGACAAUUUGAAAUAAAAAAUGACUUAAAAUCAAAUAAAUAUUAUCAUAAGAGGGAAAUUGAAAGAAUGAAAUUACCUUGUCGAGUGAGGUUUUUGUUGACGUUACAGUACAACAACUUUAAACGCUUCAAAGAAGUAAAGUCUGCUGUAACAGAGGCUUUCAAUAUCAAAUAUGUGUGAGAGAGGGAAAGGCAAAGAUAUUAGUGAAAUAUCCCAACAAAAAUAAAUUAGUCUCUCUACGCUCUACUCUUAAUCUCGGAAAUUUAAUCUCUCUAUUCAUUUGAUUUAAUAAUUGAAAUCCAACUGAUAACAUUAUCAAAGGAUUUUCGUUAAAUUGAAUUACAUGGCUUUUUUAAUAUGAAAUAUUUACUCACGUGGCUAACUGUAUUUUGCAGAUUAUAACAUUGUUUGCAAAUGCUUAAAAUGUGUAAUAAUUUGAUCGAACAAAAAAAAAGUUUACAUGACUGGAAGGCCAAAUAAACAAAAAUAAAUGUUGAAUCUAGUAUCGUAAGAUUUUCGAUUUCGAAAAUGAGAAGAGUAUAAGGACUGCAUGCAUAAUUAGACCUACAUGUAUAAAUUAAGUUUGUAAGAAAACAUCAAAACUUACUAUUGCGGGAAUAAGAAGCCAUUGAGGUUUCAUUAAUAUUAAAUCCUCCUAAAGAAAGAGUGUUCAAAGUGGGGAAGAAGCCCAAUGAUUGUAAUGAGAAGCUACAACCUGCAUCUGCAUCUGCCUCUGUAUAUGCAUCUGCAUGUCAAACAAUGCUUUAUUUCAUUAGAAAAUGUGUAAUUAACAAGUCAGGGCAAAUAAAACAAAUCUUUAUUUCUGUUUCCUCUUCUUCAUAUCUAUAAAUUUUAUAGUUUACCUCCCCAAAGUAGAGUUUAACAUUACCUGUAAAGCAGGCCAUAUUUCUUUUUUCUUUUGACUUUAAUAGUAAGAUGACUUUUAAAUGAUUUCUUUUUCUUUUUUUUUUCUCUCAAAAUUUUAAUUUUUGCAUUACCUAUAUAGCUGGCCAUAGUCAGCUCUUCCAAAUUGCCAAAACCAUAUAAAUCUGAGGAGAAUCAGAAAUUGGAAAAUAGUUUAGUUCAAAUAAAGCUUAUGAAUUUAUAUAUCUCAUUCAAUAAUUCUUUUCUUUUCCUAAGAAAAAAAAACAGAGGAUGGAGAGAAGGGUGAUUUUUACCUUUCAUAUCGAUUAAUCCAUUGCAUUGAGAGAUAUCUAUCCUCAAUGUCUUUAGAUUCGGAAGUGUAGCAAGAGAUGGCAAUAUACUAUUUUUGAAACCAUUAACACUCAAAUUAAGAUGUUUCAAAUUCAUCAGCCUUAGUCCUGCACCAUUAUCAAGUAACAACAUUUAUAGUUAUUUUAUUCCUUAAAAUAUUUAUUUUUUAAAAAUUUGACACGUGCCUUUUUUUUAAAUACUUUAUUAUAUCUCUAUAGGACACUUGUCAACCCAACGACUUUACUUAUGGAGUCUAAAAUCUCCACCAGUAAUAUACUAAAUAUUUUCCCUAAGUUUAUAAUAAAUUUAACAAUAACAAAAUUUUAAAAAAAUAAAUUUAAUGUUAAAUUGAAAAUUAAAAAAAAUCAUAAAUACCUUGAGAUGGAAUCAAAAUUAUCGGAUAAGAUCAACUCCUCUAAAUUGCUGAGAGCAUUUAAAUCUGAAGAUAACGUUAAAAAGGAAACUAAAAAUAACUUUAUUUUGCUUAGUAUAUUAAUUUAAAUAUUUAAAGCAUUCAUAAUGGGAACUAUUCAUUAAGCCUACUACAUUAUUUGAGUUUCAUUACUAUUAAAUCCUCCUAAAGAAAGAGUGUUCAAAGUGGGGAGUAAGCCCAAUGAUUGUAAUGAAAGGCUUUAGAUUUGAAAGUGUAGCAAGAGAUGACAAUAUAUUACUAUUGAAACCAUUAAUACUCAAAUCAAGAUGUUUCAAAUUCAUCAGCCUUAGUCCUGCACCUUUAUCAAGUAACAACAUUUUUACUUAUUUUAUUUCAUAUAAUAUUUACUUUUUAAAAAUUUGACACGUGUCUCUUUUUAAAAUAUUUUCUUAUAUCUCUAUAAGACACUUGUCAACCCAAUGACUUUAAUUAUGGAGUUUAAAAUCUCCACCAGUAAUAUAUCAAAUAUUAUUUCCUAAGUUUAUAAUAAAUUUAAUAAUAACAAAAUUUUCGACUAAGUUUUGGCCUAACUUGAAUGGGUUUAUUCAGUUCAACUUAUGAAAUUUCUAUUAUCAAUGGUAAAUAUUAAGUUAAGUGUUCAAAUAGAGAUGAAACUUUUUAUGAGUUGCACAUGAAUUAAAACUUUAAACAUAAUUAAGUAAAAGGUAAGUCUACCUCAUAUAAGAGAGAAACCUUACACAAUGACCAAAUAAGAGUUGAACCUUUUCAAUUGUGCUCAAAUAAGAAUUUUUCAAAUACCAUAUAAUAUAUUUGAAAUUAUGUUUUUUUUUUUAACUUUUCAAAUAAUAUCUUAUUAAACCGUGUGUGUUUUAUUCUAAACACGUUAGCAUUCAUCUAAUUUUUACUUUCAAAAGGGCAUAACUUUUUUUUACCGUUUUGAAAGGUAGGUGCUUGCAUAUAAAUAUUAACAAUUUAUUUAACAUAUGUCUAGUUAAUUGGAAAAUGGAUGAAAAGCAUUUAAUUGUGAAAGGAAAAUUACAAAUAAAACUAAUAACAAAUCAUAUAAAAUCAAAAGAUAUCAUAUUCUUACCUUUUGUAUAAAUUGCCCCCUCCAAUUGGUUAUCAGAUAAAUCUAAUGACUUCAAAUUUGAGAACUCAACAAGGGAUGAGAAUAGGCUAUUGUUCAAGAGAUUACCAUUUAAACUAAGUACCUCAAGUUUGUUGAACUUCAUUCCUUCUUUUUCUGAAAAGAAAAAAAAGUUAAUGUAAUUUCAUCUUAAAAAAAGAUAAUAUGUUGGAACAACAAUUAAUUAAGCAAGUGAUUUACCAUGGAAUAGUGACCCAAGGCUCUCAAUUUCAUUUCCCUCUAAAUACAGCUCCUUCAAGUUCAUCCAAUUAUUAUUGCUUUCUGUUCAUAUCCAAUGAAAAUAUAUGUUAGUUAAUCAAGUUAUUUAGAAAGAGAUAAUAUAACAUUUAGUCCCUAAAUUUUGUAAUUUUCUCCAACUUGGUCCUUGACCUGUUUUUUGUCCACAUUAGUCUUGGAAUUUAACAUCUUUCCAUAGCUUUGGCCAAUGAGAUGAUGUGGCACUAUGAGAUUGUGUCACGUCAUCACCUAAAUUCUUGAAAAAUUGCUAAAUUCCAGGACUAAUGUCGACCAAAAAAGUUUAUAGACUAAGUUAGAAAAAAUUACUAAAUUCAAGGACUAAAUCUUGCUUUACCCUUAUAAAAACAACUAACUAAUAAACUUUCUAUUUUUUUUAAUCAAAUUAAGCAUGAUAUUCAAAAAAGAAACAUGCCUUGUAUAUCAAGGGUUCCUUUUAGUCCGCAAUACUCAAUACACACUGGUGUCAUAGUGGCAAAACCAUCUAUAUUUCCAAAACUGUUGUAAGAUAAAUCCAAAGUUUCCAAAUUAUUCAACUUUGAUAACAUCUCAAUACCUGCCAACAAUAAUAUUAAAAAAAAAAAAAGGAGAAAACUAUUUUAAACUUGGAUAAGCUUUGCAUCAUAUACAAUUUAAUACUUUUACCAUUGGUAGGAUUUGAUCUUGUGAAUACAUUGUAAGCUAGAUUUAAAGACUUAAGCGAGGAAAGUUCACUUAAGGAUGCUAAAAUGCUAUUGUUGAAAUGAUUGUCACUCAAGUCAAGAUUCUCCAACUUAUCCAAUUUCGAUGACAACCUUUCAAAACCUACAAGGAAUAAGGAAAUAUAGUAAAUUAGCAAUGUCGGGGGACAGGGUCUUAGCUCCAAAAAAUAUGGUAAAUUUUCAGUUUAGUCCUUACCAAAACUGUAAAUUGAUGCAAUAAUACAAUUUCAUUUCAACAAUGAACAAGUAGUUGAAAUGAUUUUUUUGACAUACAAAAUAAUAAAAAGAAAUAAAUAUUUGUAAUAAAGUUGAAAGGUAAUAAACCCUGAUUGGCAACACAGCCGGUUAUGAAAUUCCCACUUAAAAGAAAGAUUCUGUAAUUUCUCAAAAGGAAGAAACAAAGAGGCAUUAAGAUACCAAUCUCUCUUCAUGUUGCUGGAAUAAUUAAGGAAAAGAUGGGUGACUCGUCCACUUAUUGGGUUGCAUUCAACCCUUUCCCACUCACAACAAUUUGAUGAACUCUCUUUUUCCGGUUUUGACUCAUAGUCUAGAUCUUGAAACUUAUAAUCAAUGAACGCAAAGAAAGGUUUGAGCUGGAAUAGAGCAAAUCUUUCCUCCUCUAAGCACCCAUCACACAGCCCAGAACCUAACGAUAACACUACAAGAACCAUGGCUAACCAUUUCGACUCCAUCUCAGCAGUACUUUAUGCAUUUGUAGCCAAUGCUGCAACCCCUUGUGCUUUAUAUGCUACAACUGAAAGGAAGAAUCCCCUCAUGCUUCCAAGAAAUUCAUUCAUAAGGGUCCACUUAUCACUUAAAUGGUAUACUUUUUUGUUUUUCAACUUCAUUAUUAAUUAUUUUUCAUGGAACCUCUUAUUUCUCUCCUCUAUUAAUUUGGAUGUGAUAAAAUAUUGAUAAACUAAUAUCAAAUAUUCUCUAUAUACUUCGGGGUUUAAAUAUGUUCCUAUCAAAUUUGAAUUGAUAAUUAAUGCUGAACUUUAAGAUAAUAGAAAGACUUCAUUGAUACAAUACUCAACAUAAUUAUAAAAUUUAUAAAUAAAAUUUUUUAAAAUGAUUUAUGUUGGAUAUUGUUUAUGAUGCCUGUUUAUUGUAACUUCCUUAUGAAGGUGGAAAAUGUAGAUUUUUGUUUCGAUAGUUUGAAUUAUUAUUGAGAAGACCUUGACUUAGAUGAUAGCAUAGUAAGGACAUGUUUGAUUGUGAAAUUGUAAUGCAAAACCACAGGUAGAAGGCAUUUAUAACCAUUGAUUUCAGACAAACCAACAUCGUAAAGAAUGUGUGGUUGUAUGUCCGGUGAAUUGGUUGAAGAGUGAUGUGGGUACCAUUUGCAUUCCAUGUAUAAGAGGGAAAAUUCAAAGUAAACGCUGGAUUCUCACGAUUAUGGAGCCCCCCAAAUUGACAAUGAUGAUUGUUUAAAUUACAAACGUCCAAACUAAGUUAAGCUUCUGGGGUCUCUGCAUUUCAUUUUUCCGGAAUUAUAAUUUAUAUUAUUUAAUUCAUAUUAAAAAAUUAUGAUUUAAUUCUUAUUUAAAAUUUAUUAAAUAAUAAUUAAUUUUUAUCAUAUAAUUAUAAAUUAAAUUCUAUAAAAGGUAAUUAUUUGAUACACCCGUCUGUGUAAUUUUUUAGAUUCCAUAAGUGGGUUGAGUGUGUGGCAAGUGUUACAUUUUUUUUAUAUAAUUAGUUUUUUUAAUUUCUACCAUACCCUAUAAUACACUUGUCAAACCUUUAAUCCAUUUGUGGACUUAUUUAAACUUUUUAUUUUUUAUUGUACCAAAUAUAUUAUAUUUUGUUAGACAUAAAAAUUAAAUUUAAUAUCUUAAAUGGACUCCUAAGUUAUUUUAUUGAUGAAAUAUUUUUAAAAAAAUUAUUUAAAAGAUUUACAUUUCUCCAAGCUAUUUCCCAAUUCGUGGCUUAAAUGAUUUACAUUUCUCCAAGCUUUAUUAUUUACAUGUGAUUUUACGUGUUUAAUAUUUAACUAUUUUUAAAUAUUGUACUUUCAACCACAAUAAUUAAUAUAAAGUAAUUUUUUUUAUUUGAAUUAUUAGAUAUAAUUAAAAUAUAUUAAAUUAUGAAUUCAAAUAUUUUAAUAGAAUUUUUUGAGUCAAUUUUAAUAGAAAUUUUUAAAAAAACAAUUAACACAUUUUUAACGUAUAAAAUAUUACUUUAUUUAAUUAAUGUAAAAUAAUAUUAUUCAAGAUAAUAACUAAUUACAUAAUUACCUCUAAUAUUAAUUAAGUGUGAUUAAUAUGCAUAAAAUUUUAUUCAAGUAAUAAGUAUAUUUUAUAAUCAUCACAAUUGUUAACUAAGAAUUGCAAUCUAAAUUCUUAGUAGUUCUAAAUAUGUAAUACAUAAAUAAAAAACCUUUUUAAAAAUAUACUAAUAUUUAACCUUGAAUUUCAUAUAUUUGAAAUGUUUGGAUACUAUAUUUUUUAAAUUUCGUGUGGAAAUUUUGACUUUUGCUUCAAUAGAUAGAAUUAUUAUUGAAGAGAUCUUUACUUAAGUGAUGGCUUGUUGAAUUAUAAAAUGGGUUUAUUACUAAGUGAAUUUACUAAAUAUUUGUUCAGACUCUUCAUUUCCUUUUUAAAGUACGCGUUUACGAUAUUCAUAUCAGCCGCAUAUUCAGACAUAAAUACAGAAAUAUAAUGUUACAAAUAAGUGAAAAAAUUUUUAAAAUAAUUAAAUACCGAAUAAAUACCCAUAUUGAGAAAGUUGUACUUGAGAGUAACAAUUUUGACAAAUAAGAAGUUGAGUGGUUCAAUUUAUCACAAUUUCACAUUAUAUUUUUGUCUAUUAAAUAAUCAUAACAAACAUAAUUCACUUUCAAAAAUUAGGUAAAUUGCAAAAGCAACAAAGUUAACUUAAAGGCUAAAUAUGUCAUAGGUUCUUAUACUUUUCAUAAUUUCAAAUUUUAGUUCCUUCUAUUUUUAUAUUUCAAAAUUUAGGUCAAAUUGUUAACACUGUUAAAAUUUUUUAAUUAAAUUUAUUGAUGUAACAUUUUGAAAUAAAAAAAAUAUUCAUUUAAUAACAAUGUAACUAAAAAAAUAAUAUAAUGAAUCUGAAUUUAUUUUAAUGUAAUAUAACUAAAAAAAAAUCACUUGAUGCUUGAAUGGCAGAAUAGAAAUGGGAGCAAGAAAUGUUUGAUGGCAACAAAAGGUAUGGCAAGAUAGUACUUUAGGUUUUGUAAAAUAUAGGUUUUAGAGUUAGUUUGGCAAAUCUAAAUCUUGACGAUGAAGAGGAGGAGUUGAUUCUUUGUGAAAAAGAUCUGAAUGAUUUAGAAGAUGACUAUUGAUUUUGUUUGGUAGAAAAAGCUGUAACGGAGUGUGUGGUUCACUUUCCCUCUCUAAUGUUAAACGCUAUUAAUGAUGGUUUUUUAUGAAGUUUUGUUUGAAGGUCGUGGAAAUUUAAAUUUUUGUUUUGAUAGAUUGAAUAAUUAUUGAGGGCUUAGGAGAUGGUUUGUCUACAUGAUAGUGUAGUUUUUUUUUAAACAUUGCAAUUUACCUCUUCCAUCCAAGUUAACAACAGAUCAAAAGAAAAAAACUUUAUCCGUAAUCUAAAAAAGCAGAUCAAAUCUAUGGAUAUCUGAAUCCAUAAUCUAAAGUACCACAUCUAAGGGAAACUAAAUUUAAAAAUUCAAAAAACUUUUUUCAACAAUUAAUCUAUACUAUAAUUUUACUAUAGUUGUUGUACUUUGUGGGUUUGUAGAUCUUAGUUCAAUAGUUAUUUGUGAACUGCUGGAAAUUGUGGAAAGCUGUAGGCGACUUAAGGUAUUCCAAAGGCAAUUCAACAUUUCAUCAUUGCAGUAAUUUUCACAUAGGUUGAAAUCAAGAAACUCAUUUACAUUCCCAACAUUCCCAUUUGCAAUGGGGCUUUAACUUAUUUGCAUAUUUGAUGUUGACUUCAUUAAACAUUGAACAUUGAUCCCAUUCCACAUAUAAGAAAAUGAUACAAGAGAAGAGGGAAACUUCCAAGUCAAGCUUUGUUUAUAUUACAAACGUAUAACCCAAGUUUAAAACAACUAAAUAUAUUAAUAUUUAUGUUGGUAACUUUCCUAUGAACUUUUGUUUGAAGGUGAAAAUAUGAACUUUUGUUCCAAUAGGUAGAAUUAUUAUUGAAGUGAUGGCCACGAAUUGGAUCCAUUACUAAAUAAAUUUCAAUAAAUAAAUUUUAUACCCUUACUAUUAUUUAUCUAUGUAUUUUUCAUUUACUUUAUUUAUAAGAUUAAAUAUAUUUGGCUUCUUUCAACAAAAAUCAUGUUUAACUUUGAACCCCAUGAAGGUCAGGGGUAUUCACUGCCUCAAGUGUGGCCUGAAUUUGAGUCCUAUUAGUCGUGUUGAUUGUUUGGGCUUUACCUUAUUAUUGUAAUUCAUAAAAAAAAAAAAUUUUAACUUCAAAAUAUUUUAAAAUUAUAUUUAAGUUAGUUAUAUAUUGAUGUUGACAUGAAUUUAUUAAAUUAUUUUAUAUAAAAUUAAUUAGUUACCAUUAUUUAAAAGAUUAUAAUUGAAAAAAAUGAUUAAAAUAUAAAUUUGAAAAAAAUUAUUAAUCCCCUUGUGCUUCCAAGAAACUCAUUCCACAAAGGGUCCAUUCAUCCCAUAAAUGGAUUACCCUUUUUUCCACAAAGGGUCCAUGGAAAAGCCUCUUUUUCAAGUCUUCCAUUAAUUUGGAUGUGAUAGAAUACUAACAUUUACAUGACUGGUAAUCACCCACCGCUUACGCCGGGGUUUAAUGAAACAAUUUUUAUUAUUUAUUAUUUAUUUAAUAUUAAAUUUUGUUUAAAAUUUAUUAAAUAACAAUUAAUUAAUUAAAACUGAUUAAAUAUUAAUUAAUUAUUUAAACUCUUUUUUUAAUAUGUUAUGUUUUUGUUAAUUAUAAAAUUUGAAUCUAUGAAAAUAUAUGAGAACCUUAAAUUUAUUCGCAAGUUAUUUUAUGGAUAAUUCAUUUUAAAUUAAUUUUAAAAGUGAAUAUUCAAAUCAAUCCUUGUGUCGGUCAAUAAUGUUGAGUAUGAGUUGGGUGAUUUACCCAGGCCAAGCAGGAUUUAUUGACCUCAAAUCAAUAUGAAAUCAAAUUAAAUAAUAAAAAACUUAAUUUAAUUAUAAAAAAUAUUAAUAUUAUAUAAAAAUAAUAUGUGAAGCAUAAAAUCAGAUUAUGAAAUUAGGUGAAGCUGGCCCAACUUCACGAUUAGACAUGCAAACUUUGUGCUUUCUACGCUACAAGAAAUAGGAAAAACCCCUCAUGCUUAAAUGGUUUACUUUUUGUGCUUUAUAUACUGCUAGUCAAAUAAAAUGGGAACAAACGUUGAAGAAUGAGAAAAAUGGGCGACUCCAGAGUCCAGAGGCAUGGCCAUCAACUCAUGCUGCUUGAAUGGCAGAAUAGAAAUGGGAGCAACAAAUGUUUGGGUUUUAUUUAUUAAGGUUUUGGACUUUGAGUUUGAUCAUGCUUGGGUUUGACUAAACAACUAUGUGACUAUAUGACUAAACAACUCAAGCCUUCUCAGAAAUAUUCCUCAUGUUUCACCCCGUCUAUGGAUUUGAAUAAGUUGAAGCGAUCUAGUGAUCGAAGAAAAAUGCAAUCUCAAAAUCAUGACGUUAUAAGUUCAGAAACUUAUGUUUGGAGAGUCUAGAGAAAUUAAAUUGAAACGACUUGUAUGACAUACAUUAGUUCCCUCUUUAAUUGUUGGAACUAUCUUCCCUGUAAUGAGUUCUGUUAAUUUGUCUUUUGCUGCUUUCUCUUGAAUGCAGGCUAACUCUUUUGGAUUUUCACAUUCCUAGCUCGUAGCAUUAACUGAUUCGGAUUAGGGAUUUUUCUGAAACCUUCUCUGCCUUCAGGUCAAACAGAAACUUAGUCCUGCAGCAUACAAAGAUUUUGUGGGUUAUACGAAGGAAAUAGUCCAAAGUGGUAAAAGAUUGGUAAUCCUCUGCAAUGCAUUGUGGAGUUAUUUUCAGGACCUGAGAGGCUUCCUCUUCUUGAAAGGUAUGCAUCUACUCCAAAAUAGUAUUAAAUUUGAAGACUGUGAGCAGUUACGUUACAUUGUCAGUAAGGCAUUGUGAAAAAUAAUUUAGUUGGCUUAACCAUGUAUACAUUGAGCAGACACUUUCUGAUACUCAUCCAGUUAAUGCCAUAUUGUGCGGUUUUAGGUUUCAUUGGAAGCUUGGCAAAAUUAAUUUCCUAUUCUCAGCAUGAGUUAAUGAUUUAUAAAGCUAAGCCCAACAUUGUCUGAAAUCAUCAAAUAUGUUAGAGCCUUAAAGGCUGCAAGUGCCAUCAGAGGUCUUAUCUGCAACACUAGCAAAGAAACUGUUGAAGGUUGGUCAGCAUGUAGCAAAGAAGCCGACAACAAGCUGGCCAUGAAGAUAGAGCCAUGCAGAAGCUGCUGCAGCAAGCAAAACUGUUCCUAUUUUGUUUAUUUUGUAAUCUUAAGUUGAUGUAAUGCUUUUUAGUUCAUUUUGAACUAUGUUAGGUUAGUGAUUGAUGUAAUUUGUUGAUGAAUGAGCUGUUAACUCAGCUUUGUUUAUGUGUGCAAGCUUGUUUUUACAAGUUUCAAUGUAUUAGUGGUAGUAGGUAGCAAUUAGGUGACCACAUACUGAUUUUGACAAGCAAAUUGCUUGGUUUAUGUAUUGGCAUUAUGCCCUUGUUCAAAGUAGAAUGAAAUCAGUUUGUUUUCUUCCACAUACUCUCCAUUUUCUUUGUUUUUCUUCUUUCUUUUGUUUCAAAUUCGAUUGUUUCUUCUGCAAGUAUCGAGCCUUGUUGCUAAAGCCAUAAGCUGAACUUGUUUGCUCUUUGUUUCUAACACCAACAGAAACAAAUUGCCACUAUUCUUUAGCCUGUCAUUCAUUUCCAUCCCCCUUUUUAGCUUGCAACUAUUAUCCAUUAUUUUUACUGGAUCUUACCCUCUGUGUCAUCUGUUACAGAUUCAAGGGUUACGUGCCUGCGAGAUAUCAUUCUUUGUAUGAGCACUACCUCGAAACAAGUAAAAGAAAUGCCUGAAAAUCAGAGGAACUAAACUUAUCUGGUCAAAACAGUAAUUAUACGCUGCCGCUUGCCAAUGUGAUCGGUUAGAAGUGAAAGAUUGAGACUUUGGCAGCAUUGUACUUUCUAAUUCUAGAUCAACAAUCUUUGAAGAAAUAUUAUACAAACAUUAUGGAAGGUUUGUACGUAGUAUACUGCAACUUGGCACAGCAUUUGGAAGCUUUUGGAUGUGUAACCAGGACAGCUAAGUUGCUCAUUUGUGUGUGGAGGAAAGAAACUUAUUCAACACGAAGGUGGUGUUACACAUAGAAAACAAUAUUUCCAUAAUUAUUUGUUGCUACUACUGAGAUUAUGAAGGACUAGACCUAGUGACAGCUAACAUUUUGUACAAAUUGAAAUCAAACCAACUAAAAUAGCAGUGAAACUAAGAUAUGGCUUGUGGGAGUUUUUAUUUAGUUCCAAAAGAGCACUUUAAAUCCAGUCUUAACACAGUUGCUACAUAUAAACAUCGCAUUGCAAUCGACAAAUUUCACAACAAAAUUUUCUACAUGUUUCCACUACAAAAAUUUAUGGGGAAAUUAUCUACCACAAAAUAGUAGCAAGAAUCGACGGCCAUUUGCAUAUAGUAAAACCAUGUUUGCCUCCAAUAAGGAUUUAUGUACAGCACAGCUGCGAUACACAAUAGCACCAUCACGUAACAUGCAAAGAAGCUUGCAUAGAAGGCAUCCAUAUCAAUGAAACCAUGGUCUUCUUUGAUGCCAGAUGAAGCCUUCGGCGUCAGUGGUGUUGUGACCAUUGAACAAUUUUUUCCCACCAAUGAGCCACAAAGGAAAGGAUUCCCAAUAUAGUUGCUUUCAUCAAAUGCUCCCAAUUGUCCAAUCCUUUCAGGUGUCUUUCCAGAUAAAUUGUUAUAUGACACAUUGAAGUAUUCCAGAAAAUGUAACACCGCAAAUUCGGCAGGGAUAUUCCCUGUUAAAUUGUUGUAGGAAAGAUCUAGACUUUCUAUGUCCAUGAGGUUAGAAAAUGCUCGUGGCACUGCUCCGGUCAAGCUAUUAUGAGAAAGGUUCAAUGUGAAGAGUUUCAUAAUGUUUUUUGUUUCAAAACUAAUUUCACCGGUAAGCUUGUUGCAGGAGAGAUCAAUUCCAGACAUGUAUUGCAACAUUCUUUUCUUAUAAUUGUAGGAUCUGCUCUUUACUGUGUAUUCUACUGGAACUUCAAUGGACCUCGGACUUUUCUUACUGGAAUAAAUAAUAUAAUGCGGAAUAUAUUGCUCAGUUACAUAGUUCAGCGCAGAAAUUUUUAAACAAGAAGGAAUAUCACCAGAGGGACCGUUUUGAGAAAGAUCAAUCAAGCUUAAACGAUCCAACUUGCAUAAUUGAAUUGGAAUUUCACCCUCAAAGUGGUUUCUCUUUAAGAGAAGAUAACUUAAUUUAGAAAGAUUGCUAACCCAAUUAGGAAUGUUACCCUUCAAGUGGUUGUAGCUGAGAUCCAAUGUCACCAACGAAGAGCUAUCAUGAAAAGCAUUUGGUAACGCUCCUUGUAGCUUAUUUUUAAAUAAAUGAACUUCCUUCACGGAUACCGGUUUGAAGCAAGAUGGUAGAGUCCCAGAUAAACUGUUCAUGGAAAGGUCCAAAAGUUGAAGUUUGAGAUUGAGACUACAAAUUGCCCUUGGUAUUGAACCUUCAAGUUGAUUAUCUGCCAUGGCAACUUGUUCCAAAUUCGAAGCAGAUCCCCUCCAUUGUGGCAACCUACCAAAGAGUUGGUUCCUGCUCACAUCCAAUGCUGCCAGCUGUGACAUAUUCCAAAUCCAACUUGGGACUUGGCCACAGAUAUAGUUAUUGCUAAGAUCUAGUAUAUACAAGUGAGAGCAGUUAGCUAAGACAUUUGGGAUCAUCCCAGUGAAGUUAUUUCCAUUUAAUUCAAGCUCCGUCAAGCUCGUUAGAUUAAAAUUUCCUGAGAAAAUUGAUCCUUGUAAUUUGUUAUUUGAUAAUCCAAGGAAUUCUAAUGAAGAGCAGCCCAUAGCCAUGUGCUCAGGUAUCUCUCCAGGCAAUUGGUUGUUUGAUAAGUCCAAAAUUUGUAGGGAAUUCAUAUCACCAAAUGAAGAGGGAAUGCUGCCAUUGAAACAAAUCUUUGACAUGUUCAAAUAAUCCAAAAAUGGUAGGUGUGCUCCAAUUCUUACUGGGAUGUUGCCACCGAAGGCAUUGUUGGAGAUAUCCAAAUAUGAUAAAGCAGAAUACACACGCGAUGGCACUUGAAAAGGCCCUGACAGAGAGCAAUUCACGAGAUUCAGGGUCACUAGCAUCAUGUUGUUUUCCAACAACCAAAACGGAAAUCGAUCCACCUUGAAAUAUAUGUUUGAGAUGUCUACAUGCUGCAACUCACUUUGAUGGUACAAGAAUUUUGGAAAUGAUCCACCACUUCCACAACAAGAUAAGCUGAUGGAACUCAAUUGGAACCUUGGAGCCGAAGAAUGCGACAUCUCAUGAUCAUCAGCAUGUAUGGUGUUGUUAUCUGCAUGAAGGUAAUUGAGUUUUGAAAGGUUGAACAAGGGUCUUAAUGAGCUUGGGAUGUGAAAUUUAUUGUUUGAAACAGCCAACGAUUGGAGGGAUGUUAGACUUUCAAGGGCAGAUAUAUUUCCAGAGAACUGAUUUGAAGAGAGGUCCAAUGAUUCAAGCAAUGUUAGGCUCUGAAGGGUAGAUAUAUUUCCAGAAAACUGAUUAGAAGAGAGGUCCAAAGAUGCAAGCAAUGUUAGGCUCUGAAUGGCAGAUAUAUUUCCAGAGAACUGAUUACAAGAGAGGUCCAAAGAUGCAAGCAAUGUUAGACUUUCAAGGGCAGAUAUAUUUCCAGAGAACUGAUUAGAAGAGAGGUCCAAAGAUUCAAGCAAUUUUAGGCUCUUAAGGAUAGAUAUAUUUCCGGAAAACUGAUUGGAAGAGAGUGAUAACAUUUUAAGGGAGGUGAGGUUGGAGAAACACAUGGGUAAGCUACCCUUUAGAUUACAGCCAUUGAUAUCCAACUCUUGGAGAUUUGUCAAUUCAC
rnacentral:lncRNA from 1 species